AAAUCCGGAGGAAUUGCAGCUUCAACAAGUAGUCACAAAAUGGUGGAGUAUUCCUGUAUGCUCAUUUCUUAAACUACUUUUUUGUAAACUACCACCAAUAUUAAUGUGGGAGAUCUGGCAAAGAAGGAAUAAAGUCAAACAUGGAGGAUCAGUUACAUACAACAAGCUAUUAUAUCAGAGACAACACACAAUUCACUUGCUAGUCAGAGAUUUAAAAGCUAUUCUAUCAGACUGGCCAAACUUAAUUGUAUCUCUGGAAAACUACAAACCAAAGUUGUUUGUCAAAAGGAUAACAUGGUAAAUUUCUAAGACAAUUAAGUGCAACACGGAUGGUACUGGUAACGAAAUAUAGGAAGAAAUGCUUAUCAUUUUUGCAUAAGAGACUCAUAUAGGGACUUGAUUUAUGCACAAGCAUUGGAGAUAACAUCAGACCCCCAACAUAGACACAAAAGUGAUAGCUAUUAGAGAGACACUUAGAUAUUGUAUUCAUGCCAACUGCAGAAACUUUCAUCUAGAAACUGAUUCCUUGGUGGCAAAGCAGUUUAUUGAAGGAACAUGGGACAGUACUCCAUGGUCCAUUACAGAGUUGAUAGAAGAGAUACAGUCAGCUAUAACACAGUGCCAAACUCAUUUACAGCAUGUAUACAGACAAGGUAAUUUUUUGGCUGAUUUUUUAGCCAACUAUGUCUUUGAUGUACCAAAUGUAGUGAGCUUCUAGAACUUCAGCUCUGUUCCAACUCAGGGCAAGAGGCUCAUCAAUAUUGACAAGCACCAGCUACCAUAUUGGAGGAUCAAGCCAAAAAAGAUUCAAGAUAGACGACACAAGCUUCUCAGUUACACAACAUUUUGAUGAUGCUACAUAUUCAGCUAAAUCAGCUUCUAAAGAAUCUACAUCAAUUUGGAGUCAACCAAUACUUAAGCUAUGAAGAUCGAUUUUUCUGUGAAGUUAUAAGGGGAUACUUCCUCAUUAUAGCUAUAAUUACAACUUUUUUUAGUUUUAGCACUACAACAAACCAGUCUUUUAGUGGAUUUAUUUAAUGGCAAUAAAGUAAUUGCCAUUAAUUUGCUUAAUGAAGUCAAUUAUUAAGGGGCAAUUGAACAUUUGCCAUAUUCCGUCUAAAUGUCAUAUUUUAUUUUUAUUUAGUUUAGAAUCUAUUUACACAGUUCCUUUCUACUAAAUAAGGGUUUCAGCGACCUCAAUAGAAAUACCAUCUUCUCCGAUGAACUCCUCGCCUUCGCUAUCUCCGACGAACUCAUUGAAUUUCUCCGGUGAAAAUGACUGGCUCGCUUCUUCUUUCAACAACUAAUUUCUGAGUCAGCUAUUGUCAUGCCAUGAGAAUCACUAUUCCUGAGAUAAAGAAACAUCCUUGGUUCUUAAGGAAUCUGCCAAAAAAACUGGUGAAUGAUGGAGCUCGUGAUCAUUAACACCUAGAAGGAUUGAUGGACAACCCUUCAGUGGAUGCUGGCGGAGACUGUUUUUCGCCAAUGCUAUUGAAUGCUAGUUCUGUCAAUAUAGAGGUUUGCUACAGCAAAGCGGUGAACUACACCUUGAUGGUAACAUUUAUAUCCUACAACACUUCUCAUUUUUACCCAUAUUAUAUUACUUGUUUGGAUUCCUUAACUUCCCAAUCCACCAGAUUGCUUUUCUGCAAGUGCUCCUUUUUAUUCGACAAAUGGAACAUAGCAACACCCAUCAGGAUCUGCCAAAGGUUUCAACUCCGAUGAUUGGAAAACAGGCUACCAUGGAUGCUUAACUUUGUCUUUUGCAUUUGAUCGUAGGGAUACAGAUUGGAACUUAAACAAGAAUACUCGGCUCAAGGUCACACAGUAGCUGCCAAGAAUAUCACAUUGUAAUUAGCGGAGCAGUAUAUUGGAAAUAUACCAGCCACUAAGCCUUUUGCCCUAGUUUCUCUAGGGAGAAAAAAUAGUGGCUCAAUUUCCUUGUUUCUCCAUCGUUCGUCACAUUCUUUCUGUUUUGGUAGUGGUAAUUUAUACUUUAUGAUCGCGAGAAGAUCAGAAAGUGAUUGUGUUGAGUUUGAUUGUUCUUCUUUUAAGUGAAUUAAGUUGUUUUGAGUUGGAUAAUUAUUCUAGUUCUAGUAAUAACCAGCUUCCAAAUGAUUGCACUUCUGAAUUUUAUUUUUAAUU